GCCAAGCGCACCACGUUAGACAGUAAGGGGAAGGAGAAAUGCAUUAUGCAAACCUGGAGGGAAAAGCAUCUGUUUCCCUCUCGCCCGCUCCCAGCACAACCUGCUGCUUAAAAGGAAAAAAGACACAGCUCUGAGAAGUGCCUCUGCUUGUUGGGAAAAGAGAGAGAGACGCUUCAAGGGGAUUGGACUUUGUUCAGCGGCGGCGGCGGGGCUGUGGGGAUCUCACGCUCUUCCUCGACAGCCGGACAUAAAUCCUCCGGAAGGGAGGGGAAGGAGAAAUACUCUGAUGAGGAACCACUGUCCUAAAUCCCAAAGCAGGGAAACCAGGGCCAUGCUGGGAGCUCUUCCACGGUGGCUACAAAAGACCCGUGCCAGUUCAUGAUCCCUGCUAGGGAUGAAAGCAGCUCACUGCGGCCACUCGGCCCCGCGGCCGGAGCUUCUUCCUCCACUUGAAGGACAAAGGAAUAAAUGGGAGGUCACCUGGCGUUCAGAUGAUCUCCGUGUGGGAUUAAUUGCUCCCACAUCAUCUUCCCCAGCCAGAUGUUGCCAGUGUGGGCAUGGCUGGGCGAUUUCUGAGGGAGCUGGAGAUGAAAAAAACACGUGGACAAGAAGUGACCUUCCCUCCCUGCUGGACCCUGGCCAUCCCCACCGCCUCGUGGCUCUGGGAUGGGAGCUGCUGACUGGGGAAGACACGAGGAGUCAGGAGCCUGAAAAGCUCUGAAAUCCACCCAAAACCAGAGCAGCCCACGCCUGAUCGUUUCGCUUUCUCUUCCUAGUGAGUGCUGGAGUAUUAAUAACCUUUUGGUGUAAAAUUACUGCGUUUAAAAAAUUUCAUUACGUCUCUAUGUCACGGGACAUAGAGCAGAGGCAAACCUAAUUAAAUUACUGAGAAUUAAAUUGCUGGCCCCUCCAGCAAAGCCUGGGGGAGGGGGUCGAUCCCUCCAGCUUUGCAAGGGAUCUGAAUUACUCAGCUCAGCUCUUCUCCCACCAAAGCCAGAGCCCUGGGGAAGGAGCCCAGUUCAGCCCCUGUGCCUGCCACUGGGAAGCUGGGGAGGGAGGGGGGGAGAUGAUGCUCAUGGUGGAUUUGUUUAUUAAGGUCCAUAAUUAACAGUGAUGAGAUCUGCAGGAGAGGGAAGCGGUUGCCUCCAUGAGAACAGGGGGAGGGCGAGAUGGUUUUGGUGCUAUUUAAAGGAGAAUCUGAAAAGGCAGGAGGCUGCAAACACCGAGGUUCCUGCAAGCUCAGCAGAGCUGGUUUCCCCCACCAGCCUGGACGUGGCCGGGGGCUUGUGUGGGGGGACUGGCUGCUGCUGACCCUCCUUCCCCGUCCCGGGGCUGGUUAUUUCAGAACACCUUUGCAUCCCUUUUGAUGUGGCCUAUUUCUAAAACCCCAGCAGCAAUUUGCAGAGGAUUUCCUGCUGAUUUGGGAGGCUGGGAGCGGAGCGAGGGGGGCGAUGUGGCUGGGUGUGCAGGCUGGGGGGAUGGACUGGGAAGCUGGGGAAGGAGGGGGGGAGAUGAUGCUCAUGGUGGAUUUGUUUAUUAAGGUCCAUAAUUAACAGUGAUGAGAUCUGCAGGAGAGGGAAGCGGUUGCCUCCAUGAGAACAGGGGGAGGGCGAGAUGGUUUUGGUGCUAUUUAAAGGAGAAUCUGAAAAGGCAGGAGGCUGCAAACACCGAGGUUCCUGCAAGCUCAGCAGAGCUGGUUUCCCCCACCAGCCUGGACGUGG
rnacentral:lncRNA from 1 species